rnacentral:rRNA from 1 species
UUGGAGGGCAAGUCUGGUGCCAGCAGCCGCGGUAAUUCCAGCUCCAAUAGCGUAUAUUAAAGUUGUUGCAGUUAAAAAGCUCGUAGUUGAAUUUCGGGAUCAAUACGUCGGUCGUGCUUUUUUGGUACGCACUGGCGUCAUAGGUUUCUCCUUUCUGACGAACCAUGAUGUCAUUAAUUUGGUGUUAUGGGGAGAUAGGACUGUUACUUUGAAAAAAUUAGAGUGUUUAAAGCAGGCAUUAGCUUGAAUACAUUAGCAUGGAAUAAUGAAAUAGGACGUUCGAUCCUAUUUUGUUGGUUUCUAGGAUCAACGUAAUGAUUAAUAGGGAUAGUUGGGGGCAUUAGUAUUCAAUUGUCAGAGGUGAAAUUCUUGGAUUUAUUGAAGACUAACUACUGCGAAAGCAUUUGCCAAGGAUGUUUUCAUUAAUCAAGAACGAAAGUUAGGGGAUCGAAGACGAUCAGAUACCGUCGUAGUCUUAACCGUAAACUAUGCCGACUAGGGAUCGGAUGAUGUUAAUUUUUUAAUGACUCAUUCGGCGCCUUACGGGAAAC